rnacentral:lncRNA from 1 species
GAAGAUUGUGGAAUCAAUCUCCACUUGUGAAAACAAUUGAUCUUAAGUAAUAGAUCAUGUGUUGUUUUCAUUUCACCAAAUUUACCAUUUGUUUUACAAAACUAGUAACGGGAAAAAAAAAUGUACCGUCCUCCAACUUUAGGAUACUUGGUUGUCAUCAAGACCUCCUAAGUUCCUUGUUCCAAGAAGCAGGCAAAUAUUUGAUACAAGUCUUCUAAAGAAAGUCCACUGCUACAAAUCUCCUUAAGGGAAGAGUCUUUUAAUACUGUGUAGUCCUAUGUUCAAUAAUAAUUUAGCUAUUAUAAAUAUUUGUCACACAUUUGCAAGUGAAAGCCAAAUAUAAACCAAACUUACUGUUCA